AGGCCGUGACGACUAAAUUAUAUACCAUCAAACUAUGAAAGCUCUCUGGAGCUUGUUGAUGUCACUAUAAAUCAUUACUCUCUGAGCCU